ACAGAGGGUGCAAACGUUGUUCGGAAUUACUGGGCGUAAAGCGUGUGUAGGCGGCUCGAUAAGUCGGAUGUGAAAGCCCUGGGCUCAACCCAGGAAGUGCACUCGAUACUGUCGAGCUAGAGUAUCGGAGAGGUUGGUGGAAUUCUCGGUGUAGAGGUGAAAUUCGUAGAUAUCGAGAGGAACACCGGUGGCGAAGGCGGCCUUCUGGACAGUGACUGACGCUGAGACGCGAAAGCGUGGGGAGCAAACAGGA
rnacentral:rRNA from 1 species